CCUGCAUCCUCUGCACCUGUGUAGAAAAAAUACUACAGCUGCUCUUUGAGUGAUGUGACCUAGAUUUAUAGAACAAAAACUGAGCCCAGGAGGUCUUCAGCUGUAGGCCUACGUUUUCACCGGAUCUGAACUUUCCCAACAGUAUGUUGGCCUUGAUAAAGUUCUGGAACGGUGCUGUUUCUUUAAAGAAACCAACUGGCGUGAAGCAGAAGACAAUGUCCAUUACAGCAUUGCUUCUCUGUGUAAAGACAUAAGAAUUGGCCUGAUUUCCACAAGUGCAAGGCAAGGACGGAUACUGUCUUUUCCACUGGGAUCUGAGGUUAUAGAGCAUUUCUGAGAGGCAAGUCAUUUGCUGCUACUUCUGAAACUAACUUCUUAAGGUAUUCAGGACUGUACAAAGUGAUUUAUAUCAUCCUUUGAUACUGUGAAUUGUUUGCAAAAGCCUUGCAUUUUCAGGAAAAAAUAUAGUAAUUCAUACGGCAUCACUCUUUAGAGCAACAGACUCAGAAGAAAACAAAACAAAGUCACAUUUGAGUGAGCUACCAUGCAUCAUUUUGGGAUUUAAAUCUUUCUUCUUUGCGUCUUAUUACAGUUUGCAGUGUUUUUUUGUGUUGUUGUGGUUGAAAAAGAUGGUGCCGAUAAAAAUAUAGCUCUCCCCUCCUGCUGCUUGGCGUGGACUCAUCCCUUUAAGUCAAUAAGCUGCAUAACAUACAUGUACAUGCGCAUAAAAAACAGCUUUUAGAAAGAGAAAGAGGUGAAUGCUGUGAGAACCACCUCAGUGACUUUAUGAACUUAAGUGCUGACUGCUCAGAAGAGUUACGAUCCUUCUGUUUGAUGGUGAAUAUUGCUGUAGGAUCAUAUUACAAUUCUUUGUGCUGUAUAUAUUUACUUGCCUUCUUGCAAUAAAAAUAAUCCUUCCUUUUAUUAUAGGUAAUUCCAGUUUGUAACAGAUCAGCAACUUGGUGUUGUUUCUUGGGCAGGGUGAGGGACUCGGUACCUAUCUUGCAUGGGCUUUUCCAGGUGAUUCAGGUUAUUUACUGGCUAUGACUUUCCGUUCAUACAACAUUUGAAGUUUCAUCAAAAUAAUUUGGAGCACCCUGGGACCAAAUAAACAGCAGAGCUUGAAAUAUCUAUUUUCCAAGAUAACCACGCUAGAACUUGCCAAACCAAACGUUACUGUCAAAAGCAUGGCUCAGCCAUAAUGUGGA